rnacentral:misc_RNA from 1 species
GAAAUGCGAUAAGUAGUGUGAAUUGCAGAAUUCAGUGAAUCAUCGAAUCUUUGAACGCACAUUGCGCCCUUUGGUAUUCCAAAGGGCAUGCCUGUUCGAGCGUCAUUUGUACCCUCAAGCUUUGCUUGGUGUUGGGCGUCUUGUCUCUAGCUUUGCUGGAGACUCGCCUUAAAGUAAUUGGCAGCCGGCCUACUGGUUUCGGAGCGCAGCACAAGUCGCACUCUCUAUCAGCAAAGGUCUAGCAUCCAUUAAGCCUUUUUUUCAACUUUUGACCUCGGAUCAGGUAGGGAUACCUGCUGAACUUAAGC